rnacentral:rRNA from 1 species
AACGAACGCUGGCGGCAUGCCUAACACAUGCAAGUCGAACGAGACCUUCGGGUCUAGUGGCGCGCGGGUGCGUAACGCGUGGGAAUCUGCCCUUGGGUUCGGAAUAACAGUUAGAAAUGACUGCUAAUACCGGAUAAUGUCUUCGGACCAAAGAUUUAUCGCCCAGGGAUGAGCCCGCGUAGGAUUAGCUAGUUGGUGAGGUAAAGGCUCACCAAGGCGACGAUCCUUAGCUGGUCUGAGAGGAUGAUCAGCCACACUGGGACUGAGACACGGCCCAGACUCCUACGGGAGGCAGCAGUGGGGAAUAUUGGACAAUGGGCGAAAGCCUGAUCCAGCAAUGCCGCGUGAGUGAUGAAGGCCUUAGGGUUGUAAAGCUCUUUUACCCGGGAUGAUAAUGACAGUACCGGGAGAAUAAGCCCCGGCUAACUCCGUGCCAGCGGCCGCGGUAAU